GACGAACGCUGGCGGCGUGCUUAACACAUGCAAGUCGAGUGCGCGUCCCGGUCGCAAGACCGGGAUGGCGCACGGCGCACGGGUGCGUAACACGUGGGCAAUCUGCCCUUCGAUGGGGAUAACUCCGGGAACCGAAGCUAAUUCCGCAUAACAUUCCGAGGACCCCGGUCUUUGGAUUCUAAAGCCGGUAAGGCGGUCCGAAGGAGGAGCCCGCGCACGAUUAGCUAGUUGGUGAGUAACGGCNCACCAAGGCUAUGAUCGUUAGCUGGUCCUGAGAGGA
rnacentral:rRNA from 1 species